AGGUAAUUAGUUUAAUAAAAACAUUUGAUUUCGGCUCAGACAAUUACGGUUUAAAUCCCUAACUACCUA
rnacentral:tRNA from 2 species